CAGUCUGAGAAAGUGAAGCAAAAUCAUUUGUGCUUCCAGAGAGGUCAUGGUUGAAUUAUCACAAAACUCUCUUUAUUCAAAGCAGAUGCUUAUUAUGAUAAAUUUAGUGUGAAAAGUGAAGCAAAAUGCAUAUAAAAGACAUUGUCUCCUCAAUUAUGUAAUAAGAAACCACCUCAUUAUAUAUCCACCAAAGAUGAUUGUAUUUUACUAGGGGCUGUAUAACUACAGUCUGCCAAAAGCCUCUCACAGUCCUCUUCCAAUAUUUUACAUAAAAUAGCAUACUUCUGAGAAUAAAGCCAAAUGACCAGUAACAGAAGAAUCUAAAAUAAACAUCAUUUUAAAGACGCAAAAGGCAUUUCUUACUGUCUCCAUCAUGUAUAUUCUUCCUAUUGUUAAUAUACAUGCAUGAAGACAUGUUCGUUUUGCUUUCUGUUCUUGAGACUAUAAAGCACAUAGCAGCCAGCCGAGAACAUUUCCUUGUGCAUUUUAUAAAAUGCCUGCAAUCCUAUCAAUGCAAUGCAUUUUAGAAGCGCUAUUAAUGCAGCCCCACUUAGCUUCUGCAGGCCACAACUGAACCUUCUGAAAGGCUCCUGGCUGCCACCAAAAACAGCAGCCUUAUUGUGCAGCAAUACAAAACAUAUGACAUGGUGCUGCUGCACUGAGAAUCUCUCCCCACCCCCAAAGGAGGCGGCCAAUGAAGAGGAGGCCCUGCCCGAAAAGCCCAUCAGAUGUUUCAUAUUAUGUAUGGGAGAAAGGAGAAUCUGAGAUCAGCAGUAGAGAGCAUCACACGCACACCCCACUUCUGUAUGGCUUGCAAACUUUUGGAAGAAUCCUGGAAAGAAAGUGAAGGCCGGAUCCGCCACAAAGUUCUGUUGCACAGGGAAAGACACAGGAGGAAGGCGAAGAUGCGGGAGCCGGGAGGGUCCACUUCUCAGGAAAUUUGCACCCUCAAGAAGCUGAGAUUUUCACGGGCUGCUAAGAACUUUUUGGUUCAUUGGAUAUUUAUGCAUAGGAUUUCUUCUCAAAUGUCGCUGAUAUAAAGAAGCCCAAGCUGUGAUAAACUGAUGGCUGAAGAGGACUUGAAGUUCCUGCCAAGGCAAAGGUGGCCAUCAUCUUAACAGAUGUACUCAAUUUUGAGUGUAUUGAUUUAACUCCUGCAUAAAAUAUGGUAUAAGCAAAGAACAGAAGGGGAAAGAUUUGAAUAUUUACUGUGUAAUUGUAUCAUACUAACUAAGGAUAUGUAUGCAAUAUUUUAUUUGUAUGGGACCAACAGGAAAAAAGUUUACUUCCAUCCCCAUAUCUUGUAGCACCUGAAGGCAAACGAAUUUAUUAUAGCAUAAGCUUUUGUAGAAUACUAAGGUAGAUUUCCCUGGAUGCACAUAGCGAGUGGACAUGCUUUAAAAUGUGCUGUAAGAUACAGCGUUGUGGCCAUAUGAGUAACCUACAUAUGAAUUUUAGGAUCCUGUUGCUUCAGUACAAAUAGGGAGAAAUUGGUUCUUGUGACAGCUUGAACAGAAAUAGAUGAACUCAUGGCAGUUACAUCCUAUGGUUAAGCAUUUGAGUUAACAGGAGUAAAACUCAUUCCUGACCCAGCCUUUGUGAUCAACAACUUCUCUCUGUUUGCAUUAAAUCAAAAGGAUUCUAAAAUUCAGAUAUUAUCUGUUAGCAACGUCUCCACAGUAAGUAUGGGAAGCUGGUGAGUUUAUUUAUUCUCAACAAAAAUUUGAGAUAUAAGCAAAUAUUAUUCCUGUUUUUAACACAGAUCAUAGGUUUGAGAGACUGCUUCUAUUUUAGAAUAAAUGUUCCUGUGAUAAUUCUACCCCUGCUAAUAGUCUUCCUUUUUAGUUGCAACACCAGACAUUAGAGCAAAUGUAAUAUCAGCUAGGGGACACUAAGACUGAUAUGUAAAACUCAAAUUAAAAUUUUGAUUAUUUUAUCCAGAAAAGCCAACACUGAUAAAAGUUUUUAACAUUUGUAAAUGUGUACCACUGCCAUCAUCACCAUCAUCUUCCCACUACGAUUUUUCACAGAUUUUGCUGGUGUUUACAGUGAUAAAAAGGAUUGCAAAACAUGUAUGAGGAGAGAUAACAGCAGGAUAAAAAAAUCUUGUUUCUCAAUUCUCUUCAUACUUAGAGCACAGACUCCCAGCCCACAUUUCACUUUGGAAGUCUUUUGUGGUUUGACUGCACCUGGUAUUCUAGGCAGCCAGUCUUCCCAACAAUCAGGUAAAUUUCAUAAUAAAUUUUGUAAUCUCAUGCAGUUUUCUCUUGCUGAAACUUUCCAUUAUUCAUUGUGGUGUUUACCUCUUUAGACAAUCCAUGCUGUGGUAUGACCAUACUCAUUAAACCCCUCGUGCUAAUGACAUCAAAACUUGGUUCCUGCUAUCACUGUAUCCAUCUAUUUUCAGUUGGAAGGAUAUGUGAAACUGGACAGUUGGACAGUAUCAUCUUCUGCAUUUUAAAAGAAGUAAGGACAAGGAAAAGGGUUUCCAUGCAGCCAAAUGCACACUGGAAUGUGCACUGAAGUACAAUUUCCACCGAAAGCCCUUCCUUGAGUUCUUAAAGUGCAGAACAAUUUCAAAUGUGAAUGAUUUUUCCAGAUUAAAUUACAGGUAACAUCAGGAUAUCUUUUUUUUUGGGGGGGGGGGAACAUGCAAUCUUAUGAGAAUAAUGGAAAGACUCCCUUAUGGUAAUACUUGGUGAUACUUUUACUGCGUUUCUUUAUAUGCUUGUAUAUGAUUAGUUACAUGAAUAUGUGACAGAAACUGAAAGCUAUAGUCUGAAGAAAUUGAGUGUUUAAAGCAAACUUUAAGAAUUCUGGAAAUCUGAGGUAGAAGAAUGCGAAAGCAAAUGCUUUGAAAGUACUCCAUGACAGGGCAAAGUAAACGGAAGUGUUAAAUCUGGAGAGGGGCUGGAAAGAGGUGGGGAACCGAGGAGAAAGGAAAUGUACAGCACAACUGUGUGCAUGUUUACUUGGAAAUAAGUCCCCAUCUUCAACAGGACUUACUCCCAGAAAAGCGUGAUAGGAGUGAGCUAGACCCAUUUUUUGAGCUGCAAUCCUAAACUAGGUCUGCAUACAUUACGAUUUACCAAGCCAAAUACAGCCUGCUAGUUGUGCAUUGUGCCUGACAACUGUUUCUGCAAUCCCAGGCAACUCUUGUUUGCGAGCCAUGCUUAACUUGGUGGGUCACAACUUUGCAAGCUUGAUAUAGUGCUGAAAAUCUAGAAGAAUAAGAAUAUGAAAGUUUUUUAAAAAGAUUUUAAAAAAACAAAAAGCAAAGUACGUAUCUGUGCUGCAUUAACUGUAAGGGGAAGUAGCUCACACAUUAUGUUUUUAUUUAUUCAACCUGGUAAGAAUAAAUUCAAAAGGCUGAGUUUUAACCCCUAAUCAAAAUGCAUUUUUGCAGUUAUUCUCCACCCCCAUGAAGUUAUCUCCUGCUGAAUACAGUUUUGCCUCCCUUUUGAUCUCUCCCUCCUGUUUGUUUCAUCAUCACUAGGACUUAUAAUUGACCUGUGCACAAUUUAACACUCUUGCCUGUAUCUCUGCUGCCACAUUUGAUUUUUUAAUGUUGCUUUUGACCUAUUAUUAAGUUUGCCUCUUACUUCUAUCUCAGUCAUCACUGCAAAAGGCCACAUGUUAAUAAUAAAAGGUGGGGGACAAGGCAAAACAAAAAAAUUACGACAUGUAAUGCACAAAUAAAGUCAUUUGGCUCUUUAGGAGAGAAUGUGCUGUAUGUAGGCUUGGCAUAUGUCAGGAAAAUUCCUGACAUAUCUUUGUUAUCGGGUGUAAAAAUGGCAUCGGGGAAUUUUGCUGAAUUGGCAAAAUGUCAGGGAAAACCCGGAUGUAUGGCAACGCGAUGGAAAAGCAGUGGAAAUAGCUCAAAAAGCUUAAAAUCAAAAAGCUUAGGUUUCCCCCCAAAAAAGCUUAACAAUUUUGGUGGGUAUCAGGAAUUUUACUUUUUGAAAUAAGGCAACUCUAGGUGUAUGUUUUGGUAACACCCCCACUGUUUUGCUAGCAAGUUCAGUCUCUGUAUUGGGGAAAGAAGACUGGUUUUUUAAAAAAUUCAUCCCCCCCGCCCAAUCUUGGUCAUUCUAGUGAGGUUGCCAAAAUUUAGAGUAGCUGUAAUUACAUUUUCUAUUGAUGUUUAACUUACUUUUACUCUUGGAAACUGACAUCCUUAGUUGAUUUUUAUUCAGACAAAGUUUUCCCUGAAGGAAUAUGGAGAACAUACACAUAAAAGAGUUUGGCCUUUGAACACUUUUUCGUUUUCCACAUUAAAAGUUAAAAAUAUAAAACGUCCAUGAUCACUGAAAGCAGUAGAGGCGGCAGUAUACAUUGGCCACUGUUGACUGAAGAAAGCCAACCCAAACUUCACCUUCUAAUGCAAUUAGAAGACUAUGAUUGCAAUAUUGCUAAAGCUAAGUAUAUCGCCAUCUAUUCCCUCCUGCCUGCCCAGGGGCGACGCAGCCCAUUUUGUAACUGGAGGUGGAAUUCCAAAGCCCCCUGCCCCCACGCCAAAACCUUCCUUACCUGGGUUGUGCAGCAGUGCCUGCAAAGUGGUGGUGACUGCAAGUUCCAGCAAGAUCUCAUGUAGUGUAUGAGAGCUCACAAGAUUUUGGUGAAAUGUCAGUGGACGCCACUGCUGCUGUUUCUCCGCCAGUGCUAGAGGGGCAGAGCCCCCAAAUCUUUGUGUUCCUCUGCCUGAAGCUGCUGCCUGAGUCCGCCUCAUGGGCAGCCUGACCCUAUGGCUGCCCCAUGUAAGCUGCUGCUGUGGGCUGCCCAAAAGAAAGCUGGAUAGAACAACUUUAAACAUUAAGAACUGCAUCAUGCCCAGCCCUGGAAUAAUGAUGCCAAAAUGCAUUGCAUUGCUCUGCUUUCCUUUGAAGGACAUAGCAACGGGGGGUGGUCUGGUUGUCUAGGCAGCCCAAGACCUCCAUGCCCACUGCCUAGGCUUGUGCUCCUAGCACAGCAAAAACAAUGUGGGAGGCAGCAGUUAGGUCUCUGCUGCCACAGGAGGCGCUGUGAUUCUCCAGUACUCCCAGAGGGGCACUCCAUUGCCUCUGGAGACAGAUGGAUGCCAUCAACCACCAACAAAAUUCCCUGCACUUCACCUGAAGGUCCCAGGGCAUGGAGUCUUCUCCCCGCCACGCGGCAUCUUUCUGAGAAAUCACAUAAAUUUCUUCUAAAGCAAUGUGUUUUAAACAAGAUGUUGUUAUUCUUGGGUGUGUGAGUUGGCAUGUAUAGGUUUGGGGAGUGGGUUGAAUAAUGAUAAAGCAAAAUAAUUAGUGCCAGUUCUGUUCGUUUCAGACACCCUCAAGGGAUGAGGCAACUGCUUUGGCUCGGCUGCCAAUGGGCUCCUCCUCUCUCUGAAUGAUCUUCCAGCGGCUGCAGCGGAAGGAGAGAUGCCCCAGAGCUGCUAACUCAAUUGGCUCCUGUCCUUUAACUAUCAUCUUUGAGCUGCCAUUCCACCUGGAUGCAGAAAGGAACUGGGAGUCAGCGCUCACUCCAUCAGCUUUGGUUCAGCUUCCAUGUGGCCCCUCCCAUCCCUCAGCUGUUUCCAUUAAAUUUGGUUAUUGUAA